rnacentral:rRNA from 1 species
GAUGAACGCUGGCGGCGUGCCUAAUACAUGCAAGUCGAGCGAACGGACGAGAAGCUUGCUUCUCUGAUGUUAGCGGCGGACGGGUGAGUAACACGUGGAUAACCUACCUAUCAGACUGGGAUAACUUCGGGAAACCGGAGCUAAUACCGGAUAAUAUUUUGAACCGCAUGGUUCAAAAGUGAAUGACGGUCUUUCUGUAACUUAUAGAUGGAUCCGCGCUGCAUUAGCUAGUUGGUAAGGUAACAGCUUACCAAGGCAACGAUGCAUAGCCGACCUGAGAGGGGGUUCGGCCACUCAGGAAGUGACACGCGACACAGACGCCUAGGGGAGGCAGCAGCAGGGAAUGGACCGAACAGGGCGAAAGCCUGACGGAGGAACGGAGCGUGAGUGAUGCAGGGCUGCGGGUCGUAAAACUGUGUUAUUAGGGAAGAACAUAUGUGUAAGUAACGGUGCACAUCUGGACGGUACCUAAACAGAAAGCCGCGGCGAACUACGU